GGGCGUCUCUAUCUCAUUGCGAGAGGAGGCGCACCUAGAGCGUACACGCUGAUACCCGAAAGAUGGUGAACUAUGCCUGGCCAGGACGAAGCCAGGGGAAACCCUGGUGGAGGUCCGCAGCGAUUCUGACGUGCAAAUCGAUCGUCGGAGCUGGGUUUAGGGGCGAAAGACCAAUCGAACCAUCUAGUAGCUGGUUCCCUCCGAAGUUUCCCUCAGGAUAGCUUGCGCUCAUAUGAAACGAGUCUCAUCCGGUAGAGCGAAUGAUUAGAGGCCUUGGGGUCGAAACGAUCUCAACCUAUUCUCAAACUCCAAAUAGAUGAGAACUCCGGCUUUCUUGAAAAUUUUCUUGAAGCCGGGGGCUUGGAUCAGAGUGCCAAGUGGGCCAAUUUU
rnacentral:rRNA from 2 species